GUCAGAGCACUGAUUGGUGACCUCACUCCCUGGAGCCAUCGGCAGACCGGGCUAAAUAUUUCCUCUGCAGCCCCAAGCUUGUCACUGGCCUUAAAACCCGGGGGAACAGAGCAAAUUACCGUCAAAGGAAAUUGCCUUUUCUAAAAAUAGAUUUUUUUUGCAUAUUUGUCCUCUGAUGGUACCCUGAAAGAAUUAUCACAGUAUACUUCACUGGUGCGGAGGCUGAAGAGCCAAGGGCAGCACAUUGGAAAGGAAGGAAGCAUAACCCGGAAUACCCAUUAUGCUUAUGGGAACCCACAUGAUCAGCUCCUUCUUUUGACAGUCCAGGCCUUAAAGUGUCCACGAAAGAAGAGAUGGGAACAGGAAGAAAUGGACCACACCUGUGGAAGGAGCAAUUAAUAUUGAGAACUGACUGACAGAGGCUGGCUGUUACCUGCAAUGGACAACUGAGAGAGGCUGAGCAUUCUCCUCAGGAGAUCACAGGGAGGAGAUUCAGGUUCCUCUCCCCCCUCCCUCCCCACCAGGAUUGUUUAUCCUGAACCAUCAGAAUUGGCAAGAUGAGAUGGCAGAGCCCGUUGCUCCUUGAGAAAAGCUGUGUGCUAAGCCAGGCGUCUAGGAACAUUUGGUUUGUUGGGUAUAUUAAUCUCCCCUGGCUGUGUCACUCCUCCCUCCUCCCACCCUCCCUCCUUCCCUCCUUCCCUGUGCCAUAUGCCUUUGUUUGGCUGCUGGGCAGAAGGGACUCUGCUCUACUUUAGUUAGUCUCUUCUGCAUUUCUCCAGCAUAUCUGAGGCCUGAGAAGUUGCCUCUGAUCUCCGAAAAGCUCAUUCUCCUCGAAUAUUUUUCUGAUAUAACUCACCUUUAGCCCCUGGUUCACCUUAGCUGGCUGGCUGGCUAUCCAAUUCCCAUCUUGCUGGGUCCCUCUAUGCUUUUAUUUUUCAUUCCAUCGAAGUCCUUUGGUAAUUAUAUAUAA